CAAAUGUAACUUGUCAUACAGUAAAACCUCAGAGUUACGAACACCAGAGAUACAAACUGACCAGUCAAUCAGAUCCCUGAUUUGGAACCAAAAGUACACAACUGGGCAGCAGCAGAGACCAAAAAAAAAAGAAAGAAAAAAAGCAUAUAGAAUACGGUAUUGCGUAAAACGUAAACUACUAAAAAAAAAAAAAAAAAAAAAAGGGAAAAGCCGCAUUUUUAUUCCGCAUAGUAAAGUCUCAAAGCUGUAUUAAAUCAAUGUUCACUUGUAAACUUCUGAAAGAACAACCAUAAUGUUUUGUUCAGAGUUACGAACAACUUCCAUUCCCGAGAUGUUUGUAACUCUGAGGUCCUCCUGUAUAUCUAUUUCCCCCUUCUCAGAACAUCAUAAUAAUGCAGACUAAAAGGCAGCAAAUCUAGAAUUUUAUUUUAUUUUUAAACACAAGUAGCACGUGGAGUUCAUUGCCACAAGACAGCACUGAGGCCAAGAUGAGGCCAUAAGAAAAAGUGGCCCAGUAAUGACAGCACUAGCCUGGGAUCUUGGAAAUCACUUACUGACCCAAUCUGUAAUAUCGGAAUAAAUAGCACUUCCCUACCUCACAAGGGUGUUGUCAGGAUAAACAUGCUAGAGGGAC